AUUGAACGCUGGCGGUAUGCCUAACACAUGCAAGUCGUACGAGAGUUUUUAACUCUAGUGGCGGACGGGUGAGUAACACGUGAGAAUUUGCCUUUAGGAGGGGGACAACAAUUGGAAACGAAUGCUAAUACCCCAUAUGCUUUCGAGUGAAAUGGAUUUUAUCCGCCUAGAGAGAAGCUCGCGGCUGAUUAGCUUGUUGGUAAGGUAAGAGCUUACCAAGGCGACGAUCAGUAUCUGGUUUGAGAGGACGAUCAGACACACUGGAACUGAGACACGGUCCAGACUCCUACGGGAGGCAGCAGUGGGGAAUUUUCCGCAAUGGGCGAAAGCCUGACGGAGCAAUACCGCGUGAGGGAAGAAUGCCUAUGGGUUGUAAACCUCUUUUUUCAGGGAGGAAUAAAAUGACGUGUACCUGAAGAAUAAGCAUCGGCUAACUCCGUG
rnacentral:rRNA from 1 species